UACGUAGGGGGCUAGCGUUGUCCGGAAUCAUUGGGCGUAAAGAGCGUGUAGGCGGCCCGGUAAGUCCGCUGUAAAAGUCAAAGGCUCAACCUUUGAAUGUCAGCGGAUACUGCCGGGCUAGAGUCCGGAAGAGGCGAGUGGAACUCCUGGUGUAGCGGUGGAAUGCGCAGAUAUCAGGAAGAACACCAACGGCGAAGGCAGCUCGCUGGGACGGAACUGACGCUGAGGCGCGAAAGCGUGGGGAGCGAACAGG
rnacentral:rRNA from 1 species